CAGUCGCCGCGGGAAUACGAAGGGUGCAAGCGUUAAUCGGAAUUACUGGGCGUAAAGCGUGCGCAGGUGGUGGUUUAAGUCCGUUGUGAAAGCCCUGGGCUCAACCUGGGAAUUGCAGUGGAUACUGGGUCACUAGAGUGUGGUAGAGGAUAGUGGAAUUUCCGGUGUAGCAGUGAAAUGCGUAGAGAUCGGAAGGAACAUCUGUGGCGAAGGCGACUAUCUGGGCCAACACUGACACUGAGGCACGAAAGCGUGGGGAGCAAACAGGAUUAGAUACCCCAGUAGUCCCUGUCUCUUAUAC
rnacentral:rRNA from 1 species